rnacentral:snoRNA from 1 species
CCAAUGAGGAUAUCCUGGGAGGUCUCUCCCCAGGCUGUAUCCAAAUGGCGUAGGGGAGCAUAGGACUCUGCCCCAUGAUGUACAGUACCUUUCCACGAUGUUGGAAAUGAAGCUGGCUGUCAGGCCUGCACUUGUGUAUUACUACAACUUCUCAGAGGCCUGUGGACAAUGACUGGGGAGACAAACCACGCAGGAAAUGUGU